rnacentral:lncRNA from 1 species
GGAAAAGUGAAUAAACUAUGUGUCUAAUUAAAAAUUCCUAUUGCCUCGCACAUCAGACACCAGUUUGAUUUCUCCUUUUAGCUGCAGUGAGGUCACACUCCUGCAUUUGUGACAUAGCAGCAGGUUGUCAUGGAGAUGAUAGCUUUAUCAGCAACUCUGCUGUGCAAUGACUUCACAGCAAGGUUACCAAGAAGCAGAUGGGCUGUGAAGGAGACAAACCCUUCUGUCUAAACACAAAUAGCAUUGAUAAUUAAUUAGCUGAAGCAGCAGGGGAAAUUAUGAAAAUGUGUGAAAGCACAGCUGUGAGGCAUGUAAAGCCUUCCUACUCCAGAUUUGGUCUACUCACCAGCAGCAUCUCCAUCGCCUAAGAGUUUUAUUAGACAUGCGCAACGUCAAGCCCUACUCCAGACACACCGAAUUAGAACCUGCAUUUUAACAAGAUCCCCAGUGACUCAUAUACAAACAAAAGACUGAGAAGCACAGGCCUAGAAGAUGUCUCCUCCCACUGACAAAGGGCAAAGAAAGGAGUUGUCUCAGAACUUGGAGUAAAAAAUACUCUCCUGUGGUGAUAGAGAGAAAAAGUGUGGAGGGCAAAGAGGGGAGCCUGUGUAUAUGCGUGUGUAUGUGUGAGAGAGAUAGAGAGAUGAAAUGAGGUAACAAGAUUCACCUGCCAACCAGCCCUGCCUAAAACUUUUCAGCACACUCUGGAUCUCAGCUGCUAGUACUUACUCUUAUUUGACUACUAGGCAUAUUUAGUUUCUAUAUCCCGCCUGAGAUGUUCCCAAAAUGUCAUAAGCGGCAGGAAGAUAACCUGAAUUUUUGUCCUUUAUCCAAGCACUAGGUCUGACAGAGGUAGUCUUCCUGACAUUGCCCUCACUGGCCCAGGGUAAGAAAGCUCACUAAAUGUUCUGACUAUUAUUUGAAGCAUGAUUUCAGCCAUGCUAUUCUACCAAAAGCAGCACAGAUCUCUCUCUUGAUCAUUUGGCAUUCUUCAUAUUACAUCAUCACACAUAAAAUUGUUGAUUCUCGGGUUAGAAGGAACCAUUUUUAAAAGUACAGUUUCUUACCUGAUACUGGAAUCCCUGCUAUAAUAUAGCUAGUCAUUGCCAAGCUACACUUGGAAAAAAUAGACGAAAGAAAACUCAAAAUUCAUGCUCAUAUGCUAUUGAGCAUUUAGUGACAUUGCAGCUACCUUAUUUGAGAAGGCAGCAUUCCACUGAUAACAUAUAUCACCCUCUAAGUAUGGCAUGCUCCUCUUACAAACAGUUAAGCUUCAGAGCAGUAGUGCAGGAAGGAAAAAAGUCCCUUCAUAAAUAAAUCCUUUUGCCUAAACGAAAGAAUAUACAGUACUCAUAAAAAUGGCGAUUAGAGCCCAGCAUGAGAAAGAUACCCUCAUAACACUAAUAAUAUUAGCAAUAAAAAUACCCUCUGAGAUUUGCUAUUCCAGAGAAAAUAUUUGCUAUUAUUGUUAUUAUUAUUAUAUUACUGCUAAUAAUAAUAAUGGGUUGCUUGCUAAGAGAUUGAGCCUUUGCUGUAACUAAGUAAGCAUACUUAGAAAGUGCUCCCCUGAAGACAUUUCUUCAAUUAAUAAAGAAGACUGACAGAUCUUCUCACAGCCUACUGCCAGGUACCAAUUGAUUGCCUCCCUGUAAUAAUUGUUUAAUUUGCUUUCCAGUACUAAUCAUGUUGUGCAAAUUGUUGGCCUCUGCCAUUUGGUGACAAGGCAGAUGGUAUUUCAAUGGGCCCAGUUGAGCUGCCCACCAGCC